rnacentral:rRNA from 1 species
ACAAGCGGUGGAUGAUGUGGAUUAAUUCGAUGCAACGCGAAGAACCUUACUACCCUUGACAUGUCCGGAACUUGCCAGAGAUGGCUUGGUGCCCGAAAGGGAAUCGGAACACAGGUGCUGCAUGGCUGUCGUCAGCUCGUGUCGUGAGAUGUUGGGUUAAGUCCCGCAACGAGCGCAACCCUUAUCAUUAGUUGCUACGCAAGGGCACUCUAAUGAGACUGCCGGUGACAAACCGGAGGAAGGUGGGGAUGACGUCAAGUCCUCAUGGCCCUUAUGGGUAGGGCUUCACACGUCAUACAAUGGUCGGUACAGAGGGUUGCCAAGCCGCGAGGCGGAGCCAAUCCCACAAAGCCGAUCGUAGUCCGGAUUGUUCUCUGCAACUCGAGAGCAUGAAGUCGGAAUCGCUAGUAAUCGCAGGUCAGCAUACUGCGGUGAAUACGUUCCCGGGUCUU